ACGGAAGGUCCGGGCGUUAUCCGGAUUUAUUGGGUUUAAAGGGAGCGUAGGCCGGAGAUUAAGCGUGUUGUGAAAUGUAGACGCUCAACGUCUGCACUGCAGCGCGAACUGGUUUCCUUGAGUACGCACAAAGUGGGCGGAAUUCGUGGUGUAGCGGUGAAAUGCUUAGAUAUCACGAAGAACUCCGAUUGCGAAGGCAGCUCACUAGAGCGCAACUGACGCUGAAGCUCGAAAGUGCGGGUAUCGAACAG
rnacentral:rRNA from 1 species